GUGGUGCAAAUGCUUGAUAAGCUGUGCUUCGGAAGAAAUUUUGAGAAGUUGGUACUCAUUUCUUGGAAGCACAUUGUUUUCCUUUGUCUCAUUAUUGAUACUGAGCUAUUUAAGUUUUUUCUGACAGAUGAGAAAUGGUAAAAUUAUCUCCCUUGGGAAAUUCUUUCUUAAAUAGAAUUGUGUAACUGUAUUUUAGAUGAUUUACAUCAUAUAUUGGUCUUGUGACGAAUGCUUUUAAUGCAGUAUCUGUGGGAAUGUUACAUUGCAGAAACAUGGCGAGAAAUAAU
rnacentral:lncRNA from 1 species